UAUCUUUUAGCGCACUAACCAAAAGCAAAUAAGUCCAAAGAAAGGCAAAGCCAGCUUCAGUAGGACCGAAGAAACUUGACCGAAACUAAGUGCUUUCAUACUUACGAAACCUCUUCAUAUAAUAUAUUGACAGCUUCAUCACAGUACAUUCAUUCCUAUCAGUCACAUGUUCUAAAGAUCAGAAUUUCUUCAGUUAAUGCAGCAGAUUUUAAUUCAUAAUCAAAUUUAAAAAUAAAACAUAAAUAAAAAUUACUCAGUUUUUUUAAUAAAAAUCUUCAUUUAAUAUCUGAUUGGAUUUGUAAUAUUGUUCAUCAAAAUGGAGAGAGUUAUAAUGCUGUAAAAACUGACGCAGGCUGUGACAAAAAUAUUUAAAUUUUCAAAAUAAAAAUUAAUAAUGAUUCCAAGAGCUCUUUAUGCCUCAUUGAUCUUGAUAAAUAUUGUUAUAUUCAAUGUUUUUGGAGUUGUGAAAACUGCACCGCUAGUUAAAAGGGAAAUACGGUUGUGCUCAACAGAUUUAAGUGAUGCACUUUCACAUAUAUGUAGUAAACGUGGAUUUAAUGAACCAUCUGCAAACUCUGGUGAUAUCCUUUCACGUGGAAAACGUGGAAUUGUAGAAGAGUGUUGUCAUCAACCGUGUACUUAUGAAAUCUUAGAGCAGUAUUGCCAAUAAUUGUAAAUAUUACCAAAGCAUCAUUAGCACAUAUUGAGAACAAAAAUCAUAUCAUGAUUAAUCUUCAUCAUAGAGAACAAUACCUUUUACAUUAAUUGCUAUUCUUCACCGACAAACAGUACAAAUGAAUCAUUGUUGCAGUUAUGUUGAAAAAUUUUCAAAAUAAAUAUGAUAAUUUGAAAAUUUUAAAUAUAUAGAAAAUUUAUUCAUUGAAGGCAUGUCCCAUUAAUUAAACAAACAAAUAGGAGGUAUAUUUUAACUCAUCCAAGUCUGAAAUAAUUAUAAUUAGUUAUAAUCAUCGAUUAACUGACAAAUGAUGUAUAAUUUAUUAAUUAGUAACAUUAAUAUGUUGUUAUGAAUAGUAAAAAUAUUCACAUGAUAUAAUGAAAAAUGAAAUAUUCAUAUGAUGUCUUUCUUCAUCAAUGAAACUCACCAAGUUGAUAAAUUAUUGUCCUAGUAAAUUAUAUUAGAAUAAAAAUAGUGGUAGAUCAAUGGCUAUAUUAUAUAAGCUUAUUUAUAUUUUUACUAGCAAGAUAUACGAGAGAGUUGUCGGAAUUAAGCAUCAUUUCUUUUUGUAACUGUAUUAGAUUGCAUUUGAGUAUUGAGUUUGGUGUUAACAUCCCUACAUAGUUUUAUUGAAGAUGAUCUCAUCUAUACUUAAAACUUUCGUAUCAAUAAAAAGUUUACGAACAUGUAUUUUCAUUGUAAUAAAUC